AAUGAACGCUGGCGGCGUGCCUAAUACAUGCAAGUCGAGCGAACAGACGAGGAGCUUGCUCCUUUGACGUUAGCGGCGGACGGGUGAGUAACACGUGGAUAACCUACCUAUAAGACUGGGAUAACUUCGGGAAACCGGAGCUAAUACCGGAUAACAUGUUGAACCGCAUGGUUCAACAGUGAAAGACGGUCUUGCUGUCACUUAUAGAUGGAUCCGCGCCGCAUUAGCUAGUUGGUAAGGUAACGGCUUACCAAGGCAACGAUGCGUAGCCGACCUGAGAGGGUGAUCGGCCACACUGGAACUGAGACACGGUCCAGACUCCUACGGGAGGCAGCAGUAGGGAAUCUUCCGCAAUGGGCGAAAGCCUGACGGAGCAACGCCGCGUGAGUGAAGAAGGUCUUCGGAUCGUAAAACUCUGUUAUUAGGGAAGAACAAAUGUGUAAGUAACUAUGCACGUCUUGACGGUACCUAAUCAGAAAGCCACGGCUAACUACGUG
rnacentral:rRNA from 1 species